UACGUAGGGCGCAAGCGUUGUCCGGAAUUAUUGGGCGUAAAGCGCUCGUAGGCGGCUUGUCACGUCGGUUGUGAAAGCCCGGGGCUUAACCCCGGGUCUGCAUUCGAUACGGGCUAGCUAGAGUGUGGUAGGGGAGAUCGGAAUUCCUGGUGUAGCGGUGAAAUGCGCAGAUAUCAGGAGGAACACCGGUGGCGAAGGCGGAUCUCUGGGCCAUUACUGACGCUGAGGAGCGAAAGCGUGGGGAGCGAACAGG
rnacentral:rRNA from 1 species